GCAAAGUCUUGAGGCUGAGCCACACACGUGCUACAAUGAAAAUUACAAUGGGAAGCAAGGGUUGUAAGGUGGAGUGAAUCCGGAAAGAUUGCCUCAGUUCGGAUUGUUCUCUGCAACUCGGGAACAUGAAGUUGGAAUCGCUAGUAAUCGCGGAUCAGCAUGGAU
rfam:Brassica napus, WGS project CCCW01000000 data, contig: 10689